CUUAUGUGUGUGUGUAUUGUUAUCAGUCUCCAUUUUACAUUGAGAAUACGGAGGCCCAAGGUCAUAGAAACAUGACGUGCUGAAAGUAGGAUGAAACCCCAGACUGCCUGGUCCCUGAGUCAGUAAGCCGGACUGCCUCCCAAGUGGCCGUCACAUAAAUCCAGAAGAAAUGUGAGAUCUUUCUGGCCAGGAGACUUGAAAACAGCAGUUUCCCUGAAAUUGAAAAUUUUUGUGAAGUGUGUGUGUCUUUUGAGAAAUGCACAGGCUGUCUGGGGUUCCCACAGCUCCAGGAAGUGGGUACUUAGCAAGAGGAGGACCUGGGUUUAUAAUCCUAGCUGCACCACUUCUCAGCUGCAUGACGUGACCUCAGGCGAGUUGUUUAACAUCACCUAGCCCGGGUUCUCCUACCUUCGAGAUUGGUGUAAUAGCAGAGCCUACCUCAUGGCAUUUUAAGGGAGGAUUUGAUGAGAUAAUGCACGUCAACCUCUCAGCAUGUGUAAGUGCUCAGUAAACUUUUGUGGAGUUCGUUAUUCUUAUCAUUCUGCCAUUUUUACUGUGAUUACAACUCCCUGCCCUCCUCCUUCUCCCACCCACCCCCACAACAGUUUUUGGCCUGUUCCCAACCCCUCCCUUUCCUCAGAGGGUAGAAACCCAGGAGAUAGUCCUCUAAGAGCAGCUGUGACAGAUCACUUUGUCACGAACACAUCACAGCAGCCAGUCAGCCCAGAGAGUAAAAAGCGCCAGCUAACUCCCAGGCCCAGAGAGUGGAAGGGACUUGCCAAGGACACAUAGCAAGGUAGUGACAGAGCAGGCCCUGGCUGCAGCCUCCUGAUGCCAACCACCUGGUGCCCAGAGGAAGGAGAAGGCCUAGAAACCAGCGCGCUCGGAGUCAGACACAGAUGCCGGACCAUCGCUUCUCCUUAGCUUCAAUUCCCCGG
rnacentral:lncRNA from 1 species